UAAUCAACACUACCAAGUUUUGAUAAACAAAUUAAAAGAAAAUAUAACACAAAUUCCAAUAUUAGAUAGAAACCCUAAUUAUAAUUUCAUCUAAACCUCACAGCCUCCACCCUCACAAACCCUUUUUACCGUCGCCGUCGCCCUUGCUGCAGUCGGCUCCGCCCUUGCUGCAGUCGGCUCCGCCCUUGCUGCCUCUUCUGAAUCCAGAUUUACACAACAACAGCAAGCUGAAAAAAAAAAAAAAACAGAGCAUGAGAAAUCUAGCACAAUGGAAAAGCUUUGCGAAGGAAGCACUAAAUCAAUCAAUAUUAGUAGCCAAAUUCCUGUGCUUUCUCCACGUCACCGACACCUAUCUCUGCACUGCUGCUCUUACCUAUGGCCCCAGCAUGCUCCCUACCCUUAAUCUCACCGGAGACCUGGUACUGGCUGAGAGAAUCUCCCCUCAGUUUGGGAAGGUGGGUCCUGGUGAUAUCGUUCUUGUAAGGUCCCCUGUUAAUCCUAAAAGAAUUGUCACCAAGCGUGUUAUGGGCAUUGAGGGUGAUUCAGUCACUUACAUUGUUGAUCCCAAGAACAGUGAUGCGAGCAAUACUAUUAUGGUUCCUAAGGGCCAUAUUUGGAUCGAGGGAGAUAAUGUGUAUGAUUCCAAUGACUCGAGAAAGUUUGGGGCUGUUCCUUAUGGUCUUCUUCACGCAAAAGUGUUUUGGAGGGUAUGGCCACCAAAAGAUUUUGGAUCUCUAUGACAGCAAAUAAAACGAAGAAUUUUGUAAGCUAUCGCUACUACUGUUCUUGCUGGAAGUUUUCGGAUGCAUUAAUUUGAUAAGGAGAUGGAGUAGCUCCAAGGCAAUCUUGGAUACGAGAUGGCAUCAGCAGGAGCCUUGACCUGCACAAGUUAAAAGAGAUGAUCGUUCUUAUGAAGUGGUUUACAAGAGAUCUUCUCAUGGGAAACACAAAACGAAAAUAUAUCGACUUGAAGUUGGUGGUCAUUUUAAUUUUUCUCGUCAACUAUAGCGGUUAUUUAUCUUUUUUAUUUUCUUAAUGUAUUAUGAUUUCUACAUGCGUAUUUUAUACCUUCAUUUAUAGCCUUAUAGGGAGAGUUAGUUUCCUUUAUAUGAGGUGAUUAUUGCGAGACCGUUGUUGUAAUGUUAUAAUGUUUGUUGAAGGCGAAGUAAUGGAGAAAGGUGGAUUAGAUUAUCUAUAAAGAAAAAACCUGAUUUACUUAA